AUUUUGCUUUGGAAGUAUUAUACAUGUAUUAGUAUAUAUAUUUAUAUACUAAUAUAUAAUUUGACAUUGAUGAUUUUCAUUUGCUACUUGCGUAGACACCUAGUUUUCAUACAAAAUUAAGAGUAGUUAGAGUUGAUCAAGUCGUUUAAAAUCUUACUAAAGUAAAUUUCAUUAUUUUCAUUCAGAUUCCUAAAAAUAAUGAAUUAAUUUCUUUAUUUAUCCUUUAAAAAGGAAUCGUUCCUUAACAUUUGUAUUGAGUAUUAACAAAUACAUUUUUAAGCUCUAUGGUCCUAGAACUGACUUACUAGUAUAAUAUUACACAAAUGUACAAGUUGAAAAUUUAAUUCCAUAAUAUUACCUGACGAAUCAGCAGAAGUCAAUUACAGACAUUUUUGGAGUGUAAAUAAGAUAAAAUAUAAAGUUUUUAAUCUUUAUCAUAAUUACCUACAAUUAUAAUAAUAAAAUGUUGAUUAAUACUGUAAAUUAGGUUUAAUAAUAAUUGAUACAAUUUUUUAUUUAUUUUUUUAAAUAGCUAAAUAGGAUAAAUGUAUUUAAUAAAUAAUUGUACCUAUUUUAAAUAAAUGCUGAAUUUAGGUACAAUGUUAUUUUAUUUCAGGUUUACUUUAUUUUUAAGUAAUCUAUCAGCUGUAUUGUAUUAGAACUCAAAUUAUAGUCUCGUAAACUAAUUGAAGACUAUAUAAUAAAUUGUUUUUCUUUAUUCUGAAUCAAUAACUAGGUAUUAUACAAUUUAAUUUGAAAACCCCAUUGCAGUCAAUUUAAUUCAGUAAUUAGAACACAUUAAAAUGUCUUUCUUUUUUUAUAAUGUAACAUUGCUUAGCUAUAGCCAACAGGUAAUGAACAAUACUAUUUUUAUCAUAAAAAUUAAGAAAUAUUUGUUACAUUUACAGGUAUACAAUACAUUAUAUUAGUAGUAUAUUGUUUUUUUAUUUAGUUAUUAAUUUGAUUAAUUUAAGGCAUUAAAGCAAGCAAUAUACCUGUAUUGUAUUUUUUUUUUUUCUAUACCUUCUAUAGAUG